GUGUGUGUUCUACGUCGACCAGAAGCUCCCAAAGGAGCCAAACCCUAGCUCAAGCUUAUUUGCUCAAAUUGAAAGGGGAAUUCAACCCAAAUCUAAUGCAUGUACCCGAAUUCUUAGUCAUCUAGCCCUAAAGAUCACUUGAAUAGGAACCACACUAGCAUGGACCAAGCAUGGAAGGCUAACGGGUCAAGAUGAGGCAAGCAAGCGGGUAUGAACACAGAUGCACAAGGUGCGUAUGAUCAGACGUAUGGAUAUAUGAAUGCACGAAGUAGGAUUUAUCGUCUAUGAAAAGAAUGGGACAGGAAUGAGAACGUCAGACUCUUGUAGAAUUGAAGCCAAACCUUGAAGCCGAACUCGGAACAAAGGAAUCCGAGAGGAUAGUCGAAUGAAUCAAAGUUUAUGUUGUCGAAUGUUAUAUGAUUUUUAAUUUGUAUCAGAUUAUUGUUGUAUGACGUUGUCAAUGACUAAUGGUUAAGUUGUAUGUGGCGUCCACAGGUACUACACGGAUUUCUUCUACUGCUAAGGAAGUGAAGCGGACGUAGAUCGAGUCAAGAGCAAGGAUUGUACGGAUAGAUCGGUCACAUAGUUGAAGUAUAUAAUGUCUAGAAAUCUAAAUUUUAGUAUGAAUGUUGUGAAUUCUUUUAUAGAACGUUUAACAUUUUUAGAAUUUGGAACCUUCGU
rnacentral:lncRNA from 1 species